rnacentral:rRNA from 1 species
AGGAGCUUGCUCCUCGGGUGACGAGUGGCGGACGGGUGAGUAAUGUCUGGGAAACUGCCCGAUGGAGGGGGAUAACUACUGGAAACGGUAGCUAAUACCGCAUAACGUCGCAAGACCAAAGUGGGGGACCUUCGGGCCUCACACCAUCGGAUGUGCCCAGAUGGGAUUAGCUUGUAGGCGGGGUAACGGCCCACCUAGGCGACGAUCCCUAGCUGGUCUGAGAGGAUGACCAGCCACACUGGAACUGAGACACGGUCCAGACUCCUACGGGAGGCAGCAGUGGGGAAUAUUGCACAAUGGGCGCAAGCCUGAUGCAGCCAUGCCGCGUGUAUGAAGAAGGCCUUCGGGUUGUAAAGUACUUUCAGCGGGGAGGAAGGUGUUGAGGUUAAUAACCUCAGCAAUUGACGUUACCCGCAGAAGAAGCACCGGCUAACUCCGUGCCAGCAGCCGCGGUAAUACGGAGGGUGCAAGCGUUAAUCGGAAUUACUG